rnacentral:rRNA from 1 species
AUUGAACGCUGGCGGCAUGCCUUACACAUGCAAGUCGAACGGUAACAGGUCUUCGGAUGCUGACGAGUGGCGGACGGGUGAGUAAUACAUCGGAACGUGCCUAGUAGUGGGGGAUAACUACUCGAAAGAGUGGCUAAUACCGCAUGAGAUCUACGGAUGAAAGCAGGGGAUCGCACGACCUUGUGCUACUAGAGCGGCCGAUGGCAGAUUAGGUAGUUGGUGGGAUAAAAGCUUACCAAGCCGACGAUCUGUAGCUGGUCUGAGAGGACGAUCAGCCACACUGGGACUGAGACACGGCCCAGACUCCUACGGGAGGCAGCAGUGGGGAAUUUUGGACAAUGGGCGCAAGCCUGAUCCAGCAAUGCCGCGUGCAGGAUGAAGGCCUUCGGGUUGUAAACUGCUUUUGUACGGAACGAAAAGCCCCGGGUUAAUACCCUGGGGUCAUGACGGUACCGUAAGAAUAAGCACCGGCUAACUACGUGCCAGCCGCCGCGGUAA